GGUUGCGGUGAUGAUUUUUAAGAUAUCAAGCUCAACAGAUCGGAUUGCUGCUCCUCUGGAGUUGUAUGUCGACCACCCCGCUGAACUGAGCAACC
rnacentral:snoRNA from 1 species